UUAACCUCCGACGGCGACCACUUGUUGCAUCGACCGGCCGACUUCCGUGGUGCGAGUGUAUUUCUUCUCGAUGUUUGUUCGAAAGAUACGCUUGCAUUCUUGAACGUUGAAUUCGCCAGAUAGAAACCUUCCAAACGAAUCCCCGAUGAAACCGAGCGUCCAAGCUUCGUUCGAAGUUUGAACUUCAAACACAUCGGUAGUUUAAAGCCACUUGCGAAAUUCCAAUCAUUGAUAAUUCAACGUUCUAUAUGUAUUAUGGUAUAUUCGUUAGUUUUUGGAUAAAAAAUUUGAAAUUCGAAACUCAAGCUUAUUUGUACUAUCGAUGAUAUAAUGCUUUUUUAUAUGAUUUGAAGAACUUUGCUUUGAAGAACACAGAAAAACAACACACUCUCUACAGCGGUGCAUCCAGCACUGAAUACGAGUCUCGACUUGUGUCCCCUCCAGAAUGGUCUACCCCACCACGGGCCCCGACCAUUUUGCUGGACGAAGGGCUUGAGAACGCGUCUAGGCGUCGAAUAUAUACUUGGAAGUUACUGUAGCGAACGAUGAUGCUGCUGAUCCUUUUCAGGAUCCACUUUCGAUACACACAAAAUAUGCUCUUUAUGUAAAGAGCGAUUAUUCUCAUUUUUUUGUCUAUGACGAAUCGUUAUCAGGCUAUCGCAAGGACAUCAUGAUGUUUAUCAUACGGACGAAAUAUACUGUGCGACAGUAGUGUGAGGUAGUCAAUAUCAAUUGCAUAAGAUUGCUUCGGAUUUCUCGCGAGAUGAAAGAUUCAUUGAAAAUAAAUGGAAGCUGUUUAAAGGAGAAAAUUAAGAAAUAAGUAUGGAGAAGCACUGAUUCUUAGAAAAUAUUUUACAUAAAAUAUUCUUGGGAGAAUUAGGAACUUGUAGAGCCAUCUACAAAGGUUGAAAUGUUGAAAUUUCACGCACUUUCAGGAAGGGCCCUGUUAAACCGAUCGAGUCGCCGAUGGGGCUUCGAUCAUUCGAUUUCUUGUUCGAUUUUUUCACAACGAAGAUCCCUGUAACCGCAAUAGCGAGAGAAGAUGAAAGAGAAACAAAGAUAAUUGGCGAGGAUCGUGGUGGGGCUUAAGACAGCCUGCGCCAACUCUCUGGGAACGAGUACGCCGUCGAAGAUGGUUAGGCGAGUACAGAGGGGCGAGGAAGAGGAGGUAGAAGCUGCUUAAGGAGGCCACGGAAUCUGCAGACGUCUCACCGUCGACCAGUUUUCUCAUACGGUCGACAUAUGGUAUGUACCCGGUGGCCUAAACUUCCACAGGAUAAAUCUCUACCUGAGGUGAGCCCUUGACCUGCCUUCUAAUGCAAAACUGAUUACUACAAUUAACAUAUAUUAUCAGAUGUUAAUUUAAAAACAUUAUAGAAUGGCGUUCAUAUCAUUUCUUAAAUCCUUUUCUGGUUUCCCAUGUAUGUACAUAGAUUCUGAAUUCUAUAAAAUAAGGAGAUCUAAAUACUACAGUCUAGACUAGUAUAGCUGAAUUAGUAUACCAAGCUUGUAUGGGCUAAGUCCGACGACAUGACUCAAGUCUUGCCAAGGUCUGGGUUAAAUAUAAGUCUAGGCUGGGUCUAGGUUGAAUCUACUUAUAUUAUCGAAAUGAAAUCUUAUAUUUCUGUUAAUAUUUGUAACUUAUGUUACGCGAGAGUUAUUCAGAAUUAAAAUGGAACAAGAUGGUUAUUCAGAACGGGAAGAACGAAAUCAGUCUCUUUGGAAUGUCCGAAUCGAUGACUCGACUCUAACGACUGUAAUCUGAUAAGGAUCGAUUUCAAGCAGGCUUAUUAUGGACCUAUUUCCGUGGCACUAUGCAACGUGUGCAUAUGUGUCAUUAUCAGACCCGUAUUGACGCUUUUCUAUUCAGUUUAGCGGAAAUACAACGCGUCCACUUUGUCAUCGCAAAUAUCUUCAGGCAUAUAGACGUCGAGGCUGCGGAAAAACGAUCCAAAAAAAAGACACGCAGAAAUGCGUCUAAAUAUACAUGGUCGCGAUGCGAUGUUGGAAAGUAUCCUGGCUGGCGUCCACUGGCGCCGAAUCUAAAAAAAGUCUGGGGAAUACGCGUUCGGCAGAUUUAACAUAAUAAGCUCGUUGUACGGGGUGUUGCGAAAAUUCCUAUGAAUAAUCAUUCGAUUCACUGUUUCUUUUCUUUUUAUAUGUACAUACAGUGAAUCACAGAAGUAUUCGAAUACUUGUAUAUACAUUUUAUGAAUAUAUUAUGUUGAAAUUUCAUUAACACUGUCAUGAGACUAUUGCGAGUCAUAUCAUAAUAAAUACAAUCAAUAUAUACAUUCCUGCUUCACAUUUUAUCGAUACAAUCAUGACAGUCGUCUUUAUUAUAUGAUAGUGAAAUUUCAAACUGUUUUAUAAAAUAAAAUAAGUUCUCAAUUUUU
rnacentral:lncRNA from 1 species